rnacentral:rRNA from 1 species
UACAGGGGGGGCAAGCGUUGUUCGGAAUUACUGGGCGUAAAGGGCUCGUAGGCGGCCAACUAAGUCCGACGUGAAAUCCCAAAGCUUAACUUUGGAACUGCGUCGGAUACUGGAUGGCUUGAAUUCGGGAGAGGGAUGCAGAAUUCCAGGUGUAGCGGUGAAAUGCGUAGAUAUCGGGAGGAACACCAGUGGCGAAGGCGACUACCUGGCCUGUUCUUGACGCUGAGGCGCGAAAGCUAGGGGAGCAAACGGG